rnacentral:sRNA from 1 species
GCACUGGCAAAAUCCAGUGCCGGGAUUGAGACCCCGAUUACUACAAAGGCGCAUCUACCGCGCGAGCGGUUUUUUU